GUUGUGAGUCUAACAUUUGGAAAGUGUUGUGAUCAGUUCUGCGAACGCGUUUCUCACUUGGUAAAACUUGUAAUGAAGAUCUGCAUAUUUUAAGAUUAAACUAAGUUCUGUUAAAAAAAUAAUUUUUAAAGUUCAUGAAUAAACCAGUUUUUUAUUAUCAGUUAUAGUUUCUUUUUUAAUUCCUGAUUAUUAGACUUAAUUAAUAGGCUGAUGUAUAUACGUAGUUAAUGGCUGAAUCACGUCCUACGGAAACGGUACAUGAAACAGUGACUGUCGAACAGUUUGUUGAUGACAAGCACAAUGAAGAUGAGGGUCAGGUGGUCAGACUUAAACUUAAGAAACCCAAGCCGGACAAAAAGGUGUCGUGGAGAAGUGAUACAGUGGACAAUGAGCAUUUAAACAAAAAGAAGUCUAAAUGCUGCUGUAUUUAUAAAAAGCCACAAAAAUUUGGGGAGAGUUCUUCAGAAUCUGAUGAUGAUGAAUGCCAGCAUUGCAGGGGACAUGUAGAAUUAAAGAAGAAACAAGUUCCAACAUCCUCAGGAACAGAAGCAACCAUCAGUCCAUCCCAAAUCCAUAAUUGCUGCUCAACCCUAGGCUAUCUAACUAUCACGUUAUUAUGAGUUGUGACUGCACUGUUACAUUUUGUAGAAGCAUACCAGGCAAUCCUCAGAAGGGUCAGAUCAGAAAUCAUGAAGAAGCAACAUAAAUACUACAUUACAUGUAAACAUCUGUAACAUUUGUUAUUUGUAGAAAUAUAUUCAAGAUUAAGAAUAUUAAGUAGUAGACUACCUCUAUACUGGCAAAUUUAUAGCACAGCUGUUACUCGUUGGGUAACUUGUAAUUAAGAUAGCUUUUGUUGUAAUCCGGGCAAGAAGUGACUUUUCUGAAUUAUCUCAUCUCAAUGUAAUAUUUGUAUACUAGUAACAGAUCACUCAUGUAUUCAUAGAUAGAGGGUACUUUCUAUAUCAGCUUAUUUAAAAAUAGCUUUCGGUUAUGGUAUUAUUCUUCCAGAAGUAGAUAUUACAACUUUUAAAAAGUUGUAUUAUUACUAUAUUUGUUCCUUAUGAGAACCAUAAUUGUAAAUUAUAUGUGUAGUUUUUUAAUAAUAAUUAAAAUUGUGAAAAAGAUUUUUUUUGAAUUUUUAUUUAAAUAACAAUUUGCAAUAUAUCAGGAUUAUUAUUGUAAACCAAAACUAUCUGAAUAUAUGCAAACAGAUUGACUGUGUGUCAGUUGUAAUGAAUAAUUGUUUUUUUUUCUUUAUUUUUAUCACCCACACUAUCAGUUUAAGUUACUAUUCUUUUAUUGUAUCAUAAUUUCGAAAGAAUAAGUAUUUUGUACUUAACACUAUUAUUUUCCCUCUAUUAAUCAAAUGUAAUUCUUGAUGUAUUUCCAGUACUUGGUAUCUUUAUGCCUAAAUACGUGGAAGUUUAUUUUAUUAAAAAAGUCUAUAUUUACCCAUUGGUUUAUUUCUGUGAAUUUUUAAUAUGAAUUUCAGACCUUUAAAGCUGUAUGGGUGAGAACUAACAUUGCUCAAAACUGCAAAUUCACAACCGAUCAUAAUUUGGGUUAUCUUAGCUAGUGUGACUGUAUACAUUUUGAUUUCACAAAAGUGUUUAAUUAGAAAAAUGAUUUGUUUUGUAUUCACCUAGUCAGUAUUAUUGUAAGAAUUGCAGGACUAAUAAAUCAUGUAGGAUUAAUAAAUACAUAAAACAAGCGACUCAUACUCUGACUAUUUUUGAAAUGUAAGCCUUCGUUAAUAAGGAUAAACACCUCCGAUUUCAAAUCCAUUUGGUUUACAUGAUUUUUAUCGCAAAUGUUAGGUCUAUUGGUAGACCUUCCUUCUGGUAGUAAAUUAGUAUUUAUUGUCAUGUAA